GAUGAACGCUGGCGGCGUGCCUAAUACAUGCAAGUCGAGCGAACAGAUGAGGAGCUUGCUCCUCUGACGUUAGCGGCGGACGGGUGAGUAACACGUGGAUAACCUACCUAUAAGACUGGGAUAACUACGGGAAACCGGAGCUAAUACCGGAUAAUAUAUUGAACCGCAUGGUUCAAUAGUGAAAGACGGUUUUGCUGUCACUUAUAGAUGGAUCCGCGCCGCAUUAGCUAGUUGGUAAGGUAACGGCUUACCAAGGCAACGAUGCGUAGCCGACCUGAGAGGGUGAUCGGCCACACUGGAACUGAGACACGGUCCAGACUCCUACGGGAGGCAGCAGUAGGGAAUCUUCCGCAAUGGGCGAAAGCCUGACGGAGCAACGCCGCGUGAGUGAUGAAGGUCUUCGGAUCGUAAAACUCUGUUAUUAGGGAAGAACAAAUGUGUAAGUAACUAUGCACGUCUUGACGGUACCUAAGCAGAAAGCCACGGCUAACUACGU
rnacentral:rRNA from 1 species